rnacentral:rRNA from 1 species
AACGUAGGGGGCGAGCGUUGUCCGGAAUUACUGGGCGUAAAGGGCGCGUAGGCGGUUUUUCAAGUCAGGGGUGAAAACUCUGGGCUCAACUCAGAGCCUGCCUCUGAAACUGGAAGACUUGAGGGCAGGAGAGGGGAGUGGAAUUCCCAGUGUAGCGGUGAAAUGCGUAGAUAUUGGGAGGAACACCAGUGGCGAAGGCGACUCUCUGGCCUAACCCUGACGCUGAGGCGCGAAAGCGUGGGGAGCAAACGGGAUUAGAUACCCCGGUAGUCCACGCCGUAAACGAUGGGUGCUAGGUGUAGGAGGUAUCGACCCCUUCUGUGCCGUAGCUAACGCAAUAAGCACCCCGCCUGGGGAGUACGGCCGCAAGGUUGAA